CAUGUACCAUGUGAUCAUCGAGAUCCCCUUGAACCUUUCUGCUCUGAUAUUUGAGGCCAUGAGAGAGAUCCUAAAUAGGUCUAAGGUUCACCUGCCUUAUGGUAUGGCACUCAUCCUGGUCUUUAGGAGGUUCGGAGUCUGUUUUGAGGGGGAGGCAGUCACUAGAUUAUUACAUUCCGACACCAUCAAUCGCCACACACUGCACCAUAUGGGUUUUUCAAAGACUGAUGGCAGU
rnacentral:lncRNA from 1 species